GGGUCGUUGGCAGAACGGUUAUGCAGCCGCCUUUUAAGCGGAAAGAUCAGGGUUCAACCCCCUGGCGACCCACCA
rnacentral:tRNA from 2 species